rnacentral:rRNA from 1 species
GACGAACGCUGGCGGCGUGCUUAACACAUGCAAGUCGAACGGAAAGGCCCUGCUUUUGUGGGGUGCUCGAGUGGCGAACGGGUGAGUAACACGUGAGUAACCUGCCCUUGACUUUGGGAUAACUUCAGGAAACUGGGGCUAAUACCGGAUAGGAGCUCCUGCUGCAUGGUGGGGGUUGGAAAGUUUCGGCGGUUGGGGAUGGACUCGCGGCUUAUCAGCUUGUUGGUGGGGUAGUGGCUUACCAAGGCUUUGACGGGUAGCCGGCCUGGGAGGGUGACCGGCGACAAUGGGCCUGCGAGACGGACCAGACUCGUACGGGAGGCAGCAGUGGGGAAUAUUGCACAAUGGGCGGAAGCCUGAUGCAGCAACGCCGCGUGCGGGAUGACGGCUUUCGGGUUAUAAACCGAUUUCGCAUGUGACGAAGCGUGAGUGACGGUAAUGGGUAAAGAAGCACCGGCUAACUACGUG